rnacentral:lncRNA from 1 species
UACCAUUUACUAAAAUGAGAAAUGUUAGGGAAUGAGCAGACAGAUUUGAAGGGUGGGAAGUAUCAAAGAAAUAUCAAGAAACCAUUUUUGAACUUGCUAAUCUUAAUAUCUGUGAGUAACCCAAAUUGAAAAGAUUAGUUGGCUGUUGAAUACAUCCUUGCAGUUUGCUGAAUUUUUUGGAUCUAUUGAUUGUCAUUUUUCAUUAUAUUUCAUCAUAUUUCAUGUCUCUUGAAAUAUUUAUUCUGCUCCAUUGUCCAUCUUCUUUUUGUCCUGUUAGAAUUGUUGAUAUUAUUCCACAAACCAUUGAGGCUCUGUUCACUUUUUUUUCAUUUUUUCUCUGUGUAUAAGUUUGGAAAUUUCUAUCUACCUGUCUUCAAUUUCACUGAUACUUUUCUUCUGAAAGCCUUUCCUAUUUUAAUUUCAGGUAUUGUAUUUUCAGUUCUGGGACAUCCAUUUGGUUCAUUUUCAGCUUCCAUAUAUUUUCCGAAAUUUUCCAUAUCUUUACUCAUCCAUUUUUCCUAUGAAUUCUUUAAUAUACUUAUAAUAGUCAUUUUAAACUUCUUGUUUGCUAAUUCCAAUAUCUGGUAUGUCUGUGUGUCUGCUUUUAUUGACUGAUUUUGCUUUUGAAUGUGGUCACAAUUUCCUGACCCUUUACAUGUCCAGUAAUUUUCAUUGUACAUUGAAUGAUAUUUUGUAGAGACAUUGGAUUUGCAGUCUUCCUCUGAAAAAUGUUAGUUCUGUUCCAGAAAGCAAUUAAAUUGCUUGUGGAUCCACUUGAUCCUACAGAUGCUUUGUUUUUAGUUUCGUUAGAGUGGCUGUAAUUCAAUUUUUCUCUCAGCUCCAAGGCAUAGACUUUUGGGAAUGAUUCUUCUUACUAUAAGAUGUGACCUUUCUGGAGCAUCAGUGACAAACCCUAGAUUUAAGUCCCCUAAUUAGGCAGGACUUGAAUCCCAAACUGUGUCUCCCUAAUGCCAGGCAGCUACUGAAAUACCUGUUCAGCAUUUUACCCUUCCAACUAUUGCUUUCUGCUGGGUGUGUUGGAGUCUCACUCUAUAUGUAUGCAGCCAGAUUUUGGAAUAGUUCACGUGCAGACUAGGAGGCCACCCCUUUUGUGGUUUCAUACUUUCAUGCACUUACCUAUCCUCACCAAUUUCUAGCAGCCCUGAACUUUGACCUCAGACUUCUGUUUGAGCAAACUGGAAAGUGCUAUCACAGGAAAAGCCAGUUAAAUGUGGAUCUCAUCCAGUGUGCUUCUAUUCUUGAAAGCAUACUAUCAGCUCCAGUCUCUGCCUGCUUUUAGUUGAUAUAGAGAGAGGCAUGGAAAUAGACAUAGAUAUAUAGAUAUAUUUGUUUUUCCAGAGUUUAUAAUUGUUAUUGGCAGGAAACUUAGUCCAAUAUACACUAUUCUGACACACAACCAUCAGAAUUCUGGUAGUUGAAUGGAUGAAUCUUGAUUUCAGGAAAGAAUUCUGAGCAGAAAUAUAAAAAUUGAUAUUUAUCAAUGGGAGAAACAGUCUAGGAAAGUGCUUCUCAUUAUUGGUUUCACGUUAGAAUCUCCUGACAAAAUUUAAUAAUCUAUUUGGCCAGACUACCCCAAAUCAACUAAAUCAGAAUCUCUGGGGAUUGGACCCGAGUAUCAGUAUUUGUUAAAGCCCCACAGGUGAUUUAAAUGUGCACCUAGAAUUGAGAACUGCUGAACUCAAAAGAGGGCAAAGGGUAAAAGAAGAAGUAGAUUCAGAUCCCAGGCUUAUUCAGCAAAGGAAACUGAGAAGGAACAACCAGAGGAAGAUAGGGUCAUAAAAGGCAAGAGAGGAGAGUGUUUCUCUAAGCAGGAAGAAGUCAUCAAACGUGUUAAAUGCUCAAGAUUCAGAGAAGGUUUGUAAAAAUUACACGUCUUGCUUCAAAAGAAACACACAGAAUCUGAGGCUCAAACUAAUUGGCUCCUGUUAGCAUUCACUGUGGCUGAAUGGCUACUUCCUGUUUGUGUGGACUCUAUAUGCAGGAACCAUGUGAAGCGAUAUGAAUCCACUUUUGCAAAUGAAGAAUCUGAGCCUGAAGGAAGAUUAGAGACUUGCUCAAGAUUUUACAGACAGAGGACUCAGCAGAGGACUCCAAGGCCCUAGAGAACAAUGGGACUGAAUAUACAACAGGAGGAGCCUGGGUUCCUGAGAGACUCUGUGGAGCAGAAUACCCACCCUUCCCUCUACCCCAUUGGCCUUUGCAUGAGAGAGAAAUAAAAUUCCAUUUUAUUACUGCUGAGAUUUUGAAAUGAUUUGUUUCAGCAGAUAGCCUCCCCUAAAUAAUACGAUAAAAUAAAGAUUGACAUGAUAACUUUUUUUCCGUGUGUCAAGG